UUAAAUUGAAGAGUUUGAUCAUGGCUCAGAUUGAACGCUGGCGGCAGGCUUAACACAUGCAAGUCGAACGGUAACAGGAAGCAGCUUGCUGCUUUGCUGACGAGUGGCGGACGGGUGAGUAAUGUCUGGGAAACUGCCUGAUGGAGGGGGAUAACUACUGGAAACGGUGGCUAAUA
rnacentral:rRNA from 1 species